GAUGAACGCUGGCGGCGUGCCUAAUACAUGCAAGUCGAGCGAACAGACGAGGAGCUUGCUCCUCUGACGUUAGCGGCGGACGGGUGAGUAACACGUGGAUAACCUACCUAUAAGACUGGGAUAACUUCUGGAAACCGGAGCUAAUACCGGAUAAUAUAUUGAACCGCAUGGUUCAAUAGUGAAAGACGGUUUUGCUGUCACUUAUAGAGGGAUCCGCGCGGCAUUAGCUAUUUGGUAAGGUAACGGCUUACCAAGGCGACGAUGCGUAGCCGACCUGAGAGGGUGAUCGGCCACCCUGGAACUGAGACACGGUCCAGACUCCUACGGGAGGCAGCAGAAGGGAAUCUUCCGAAAUGGGCGAAAGCCUGACGGAGCAACGCCGCGUGAGGGAUGAAGGUCUUCGGAUCGUAAAACUCUGUUAUUAGGGAAGAACAAAUGUGUAAGUAACUAUGCACGUCUUGACGGUACCUAAUCAGAAAGCCACGGCUAACUACGUG
rnacentral:rRNA from 1 species